rnacentral:lncRNA from 1 species
CUGAAAGUCCAUAAACAAUUGGCAAAAUCAACUGUCAAAACACAUAAAAAAGUAGAAAACAAUUGUCCUAUUCAUCAAUUGAUACAGGCAUAUAUUUAUGUAAAACAUGGUGGUUCCAACCUGGUUUUAAAGAUAUCUGAAAACACAAAGACAUUCAUCAGCGAUCCUUUUAUGGCCGACUAUACGGUUCGGGUUUUGUCGCAUUGUUGACGGCCGUACGGUCACCUAUAAUUGCUUGUCUUGCUUAUAUUCACUUCAUUUAACCCUUUGUGAACAGUAGUCUUAUUAGAUAGGCGUGCAUGGGCAAUUGAUUUAUCACAUAUGUUAAUGAUUAUGUAGCUCUUCAUUAUCUGCUUACUAUAUAUGAAGAAAUUAAUUGGAAUGGUUACAGUCUUUCUUAUUUUUUUCUUAGAUUUGGAUGGUUGAUAUUUAAAACGCCACUAUUAGGUUUUUUCGUGGCAACCAGGUUCAAUUAAUGGAGGAACCCUCAGAUAACCAUCGACCUUCGAUAAGGAAACUGAAAAUCUUAGCCAAUUAAGAUUUGAAUCGAGUGCACUCGCAUGGGCGGGGUUCGACCUCACCACCUCAGUGUUGACUGGCUGGUGAUUAGAGUUGUAGAACUACUUAGACCACGUGGUCACCGAGGCAGACAUUGUAUUACUUUAUCAUUAUGAAUUUACUGAGUAUAUUUCUAACUAGAAAUUCACCAAGUCUAGUAUUCAAAUAUGUAUGGUCAUGAAAAGCAACUAGAAAAACGAACUUAU